UGCGUAGAGAUGUGGAGGAACACCAGUGGCGAAGGCGACUUUCUGGUCGUAACUGACGCUGAGGAGCGAAAGCGCGGGGAGCGAACAGGAUAGAUACCCUGGUAGUCACGCCGUAAACGAUGAGUGCUAAGUGUUAGAGGGGUUUUCCCCCCUUCAUUGUUGCAGAUAAAGCAUUAAGCACUCCGCCUGGGGAGUACGGUCGCAAGGGUGAAAUUCACAAUGAAUUGACAGGAGGCCCGCACAAGCGGCGGAGCACCUGGUAUAAUUCGAAGCAACGCGAAGAACCUUAUCAGCUCGUGGACAUCCUCUGACAACCCGAGAGAUAGGGCUUUUCCUUCGCGGACAGAGGUGACAGGUGGUUCACUGGCUCUUUUUCUCCCUUCAGAGAAGUUGGGCGAAGUAGACGCCAUUAGUCCCACCCGUGGUUUUUCUUGGCCACACUUUCGUCCGCGGUGGAAGAUUGACCUACUGCUGCAAACCGGAGGAAUGGGGGGGGGUGACGUCACAUCAUCAUGGCCCCUCUCCCUCUCAGGUCACCCCCGCUUCACAGCCCGGGUCAACCAGUCGCACAACACCAAGAUGAUGAGCCACUCCUAUAAAUCUGUUCUCCGUUCGGAUCCCAGUUUCCAACUCGAUUGCGUGAAGCUGGAAUCGCUAGUAAUCGCGGAUCAGCAUGCCGCGGUGAAUACGUUCCCGGGCCUUGUACACACCGCCCGUCACACCACGAGAGUUUGCUAACACCCGAAGUCGGUGAGGUAACCUCUAUGGAUGCCAGCCGCC
rnacentral:rRNA from 1 species